AUACUUACCUGACGCGAGAGGCACCUUGAUCAACUAGGAGGUCCUCUCAGGAUGAGGCCCUUUCAUUGCACUUCGACUGGGUUGACUCCUGCGAUUGCCCCUAAUGUGGGUAACUCGAGCGUAUAAUUUCUGGUAGUGGGGACCUGCGUUCGCGCUCGUCCCCU
rnacentral:snRNA from 1 species